rnacentral:tRNA from 1 species
GGGGUUCUAGUUCAGUUGGUAGAGCGCGUAUUAGCAAGCAGAAUGUCAUCGGUUAGAGUCAGAUAACCUCCU